UUUAAUCAUCAUCUCUUAUUUUACAGGUGCAGAAAGAGACCAGAGAGGUUGAAUAAUAGCACCAGAAUCACGUAGCUGGCCAAGAGUAGGAUCAAGAUCAUUGCCUCUAAAUCCGAGUCUCUUUAUGAUACCAAGAUUCCCGAGUUGUUCUGCAUGCAGAACGAAGACUGUUUUUAUAUGGACUGAGUAAAGGCUUGGUCCCUGGCAGCUGGGUGUAUCACAGAGGGAAUGGAGCCUGACCACUGACCUGGACUGUGGCUCCCCAGUCUAAACUUUUCUCAGGACAGCAGUGACACUCACAGGCAGCACAUCAAGAUAUCUGAGGAGUCUAACAAGGGUUCAGUCCAGGCUGCCAAGAAGGGAAGUGAGUCCCUAUCCCCAGCUAUAGUCAAGCCACGGUUGGAGGCUCACCUCUCCAGGAUGCUGCUGGGGUGAUGUCUACACUGGAUGAAAGACUGGACUAGGUGAGCUUUAAGACCCAUCCCCUUCCAUAAGUUAAGGAUAGUCC
rnacentral:lncRNA from 1 species